AUUGAACGCUGGCGGCAGGCCUAACACAUGCAAGUCGAGCGGAUGAAGGGAGCUUGCUCCUGGAUUCAGCGGCGGACGGGUGAGUAAUGCCUAGGAAUCUGCCUGGUAGUGGGGGAUAACGUCCGGACACGGGCGCUAAUACCGCAUACGUCCUGAGGGUGAAAGUGGGGGAUCUUCGGACCUAACGCUAUCUGAUGAGCCUAGGUCGGAUUAGCUAGUUGGUGGGGUAAAGGCCUACCAAGGCGACGAUCCGUAACUGGUCUGAGAGGAUGAUCAGUCACACUGGAACUGAGACACGGUCCAGACUCCUACGGGAGGCAGCAGUGGGGAAUAUUGGACAAUGGGCGAAAGCCUGAUCCAGCCAUGCCGCGUGUGUGAAGAAGGUCUUCGGAUUGUAAAGCUCUUUUAGUUGGGAGGAAGGACAGUAAGUUAAUACCUUGCUGUUUUGACGUUACCAACAGAAUAAGCACCGGCUAACUUCGUG
rnacentral:rRNA from 1 species